CCUCGUUUCUGCAUCCUGGUUCCCUCGCUCUGGGAAAUCCCACAUGCACUGGAAACAAACUCAGACUUCCUGCAAAGCAGGAAAUUUUUUUUUUUUUAAAGCCUUUGUUUCAAGUUGGAACAAAGUCAGCUUUCAAAAUUUCCCAAGACUUUGGUAACAUUCCUCCAUCUCCAGCAAAUUUCCAUUCUGUGACUGAGGUUUGCCACUUGACUGUGUCAACGGGCAGGCAAGCCUUGAGCGCUGCUGAAGAACUGGGCCCUUACGGUGUGCUCUUAGUUGUAAAGACUCAGGUGGGUUUUCAACCAGAAACAGCAAUUUAAGGAAAUGGGGACAGAGAGCAAAAUGUGCAGGUACAUCAUGGGAUCUGCUGCCCUUUCCGCUGUUGUGCCUGGUCUACAAAGUAUUAAUGAGGAGACUUUCGAGCAACUCUGCGCAGCAAGAGCUUGAGCCAGCUUUGCGGUGUGCAGCGGGACAGAGAAGGGGUGAGGGGCAACGCACUUCCUGCUGCGUCAGCAACUCUGCUAAUACACAGAAAGGAGCUGCUCUCCUAGGGACACGAGUUUUAUUACAAGAUUAACCUGGUGUUUAAAACCACACACAGGUUAAAUCCUUGGCCAGGGCACUGUUUGGCGCUGCUCCCUGCGACACUUACUUACCCCGCACAUCAGAGAUCUUGAUGAACUCCAGCUGUUCUGCGAGCUCCUUCACAACGCGGUCGAGGCUCCUGGCGUCAGUCUCCAGCGUGCUCAGGGUGUUGAGCGUCUGCUGGUACGGGCCGGUGACGCCCGUGAUUUUCAGGGCAUUAGCUCUGUCCAGGAACUGCUGGGUCCUGUUGGCCAGCUGGCCAAUGACCACGUCCCAGAGGGCGAAGCACUGGUGGCACGGCACGCAGUUGGGGAAGAAGCCCGAGUAGCCCCGGCUGCACCUGUCGCAGCGCGGCCCUUCCACCCCUUCGUUGCAGACGCACUGUCCUGUGGCGCGGUCGCACUGCGGCGUCUGGAUGCCUCGAGGGUUGCAAUCGCAUGCUGCACGGAGAAAAAGGAAAAGAAAACGUAAAGGCUAAGGAGGAGCAAAUGACUGCGAAGGUGGCAGGGAGAAAAGAGAACAUACCAAGCUGUAACUAAGUGGAGAAAGGAAUAUAGAAGUGGUCUGUGCAUAGA
rnacentral:lncRNA from 1 species